rnacentral:rRNA from 1 species
UACGUAGGGCGCAAGCGUUGUCCGGAAUUACUGGGCGUAAAGCGUGCGCAGGCGGUUUUGUAAGUCCGUCGUGAAAGCCCCGGGCUCAACCUGGGAAUUGCGAUGGAGACUGCAAGGCUUGAAUCUGGCAGAGGGGGGUAGAAUUCCACGUGUAGCAGUGAAAUGCGUAGAGAUGUGGAGGAACACCGAUGGCGAAGGCAGCCCCCUGGGUCAAGAUUGACGCUCAUGCACGAAAGCGUGGGGAGCAAACAGG